rnacentral:rRNA from 1 species
UAACGCGAAGAACCUUACCAAGGCUUGACAUACACGAGAACGGGCCAGAAAUGGUCAACUCUUUGGACACUCGUGAACAGGUGGUGCAUGGUUGUCGUCAGCUCGUGUCGUGAGAUGUUGGGUUAAGUCCCGCAACGAGCGCAACCCUCGUUUUAUGUUGCCAGCGCGUAAUGGCGGGAACUCAUAGGAGACUGCCGGGGUCAACUCGGAGGAAGGUGGGGAUGACGUCAAAUCAUCAUGCCCCUUAUGUCUUGGGCUUCACGCAUGCUACAAUGGCCGGUACAAAGGGCUGCAAUACCGUAAGGUGGAGCGAAUCCCAAAAAGCCGGUCUCAGUUCGGAUUGAGGUCUGCAACUCGACCUCAUGAAGUCGGAGUCGCUAGUAAUCGUGGAUCAGC